rnacentral:tRNA from 1 species
GCGUCCUUAGUUCAGGUGGUAGAACGUAGGUUUCCAAAACCUAAUGUCGAGGGUUCGAGUCCUUCAGGGCGUG